UACGGGGGGAGCAAGCGUUGCUCGGAUUUACUGGGCGUAAAGGGCGCGUAGGCGGCCUGUGCAAGUCAGUUGUGAAAUCUCCGGGCUUAACUCGGAACGGUCAACUGAUACUGCUCGGCUAGAGUGCGGAAGGGGCAACUGGAAUUCUUGGUGUAGCGGUGAAAUGCGUAGAUAUCAAGAGGAACACCUGCGGCGAAGGCGGGUUGCUGGGCCGACACUGACGCUGAAGUGCGAAAGCUAGGGGAGCGAACGGG
rnacentral:rRNA from 1 species